GAUGAGGCCAAAGAGUAUCUUAAGCAAAAAGGGGUUGACAUAAAUUCUAAUUGACAGACUUCGCAAUCCUUUGCCUUCUCUCCUCCUCUUUAUCAGAUUUCUGUUUGUUUGAUUACGGUGAAGAACACUUCAUCCAUCUCAAAGAGCCUUUUUUAUUUGAAUCCCUUGUGAAAGGCAGUGAAUGUGGAUUCAUGUAUAGAACAGAAUUGUUUCUCUAUACCUGUCAGUUG
rnacentral:misc_RNA from 1 species